CUCAAAGGCUGCUAUAAACCAGGUUUUCAGAGAAAAAGGAAGCAAGACUGAUUCUUCAAAAACCUAAAGACCUCAAGAAGUUGCAGCUUCUGAUAGGGUAAUUACAGAAAGGAACUUCACAUUCUUCUGGUACUACGCAAACACGUAUGGUGGGAUUAUUCAGAUGGCCUCUACAAGUUGAGAAGGAUAAUCUCUGAAGGAAUGACGCUGAUGAAGUCUGAACACAAGUGUAAGAAGGAUAAUGAAGACAGAAAAAGGAAUAGGUGGGGAAAAGAGAAAAACUAUUGAGAUUUGCUUAUGGUGCACUUACUAUCUUAAAUCAACCAGCCCUCUCCUCUGCUAUCCAUCCUUGUAACUUCUGAUGAAAAGAAGUCCAGAAGAUUUCUUGGCUGUGGCAAAAGAAAAACUCAUUCUGAUGAUGGAAAAAACAGUAGUGGCAAAUGACUCCUGCAUAUUUGAAGGAAGAAGAGAGGCUACU